UGGAUGAAUUUGGAAACAUGGAUGAGGAC
rnacentral:piRNA from 1 species